rnacentral:rRNA from 1 species
GAUGAACGCUGGCGGCGUGCCUAAUACAUGCAAGUCGAGCGAACGGACGAGAAGCUUGCUUCUCUGAUGUUAGCGGCGGAGGGGUGUGUCACACGUGGAUACCCUACCUAUAAGACUGGGAUCACUUCGGGACACCGGCGCUAAUCCCGGAUGAUAUUUUGAACCGCAUGGUUCAUAAGUGAAAGACGGUCUUGCUGUCUCUUAUAGAUGGAUCCGCGCUGCAUUAGCUAGUUGGUAAGGUAACGGCUUACCAAGGCAACGAUGCAUAGCCGACCUGUGAGGGUGGUCGGCGACACUGGAACUGAGACACGGUCCAGACUCCUACGAGAGGCAGCAGUAGCGAAUCUUACGCAAUAGGGGAAAGUCUGACGGAGCAACGGCGCGUGAGUGACGAAGGUCUUGGGAUCGUAAAACCCUGUUAUUAGGGAAGAACAUAUGUGGAAGUAACUGUGCACAGCGUGACGGUAACUAGUCAGAAAGCCACGGCUAACUACGUG